UCUGUAUUUGCAAAUGUGUUCUCGCCUCCGCUAUAAACCAGUACAACCCUGCCCGGCCUUGCCUCCGUAGCCGGGGGGUUGCAGGAGGUCAUAGAUAUGUUAUUCUGAGGAUUUGGGAGGCACAUACCAGGCACACCGGGGCGUCUUCUGCGUUGGGGGGGGGGCGGGAAGGUGCGUCAAGUAAGGUCAGUUAAACAAGAAUACAACUUCCGAUCACCACAMAAUAGUGGACUCCCUUGGGGACCCUUCCCCACGGCUCUUGCAAUCGUGCUUCUGACCUAUCAACUAGACGGCAGCCUAAGGGACAUGCUAUGGUGACAACGGUA
rnacentral:rRNA from 1 species